rnacentral:misc_RNA from 1 species
ACAGUAGGAAAAAUGGCUGCUAAACGUAUCACUCUACCGGGGACGAACUUGAACGUCUCCAGAGUUUGUUUGGGGUGUUGGCAGUUUAAUGGGGGUAAAGAUACAGUGAACUGGGAUGCUCAGACCCCCGAGGAAUCCAAAGCAAUUGUGGACAAAUGUCUUGAGAUUGGCGUGAAUUUCUUUGACACAGCCGAGGGUUACGCUGGCUCGGAGGAAGUACUCGGUAUGUGUCUGGAGGGCCGCAGACAAGAUGCGGUCAUUGCCACCAAGUUUGGAUUCAGGGAGGGACCAAACACUCCUCCCUACUCCCCCCAGCAGAUCGAUGAAGCUGUUACCCGCAGCCUGAAUAAACUCAAGACCAACUAUGUAGAUCUCCUGCAGGUGCACUUUUCAAGUUUCUUGGAGAACAUGGAGGAGUCGGUGAAGGAGCUAGAGCGACAGGUGUCCCUGGGCCGCAUCAAGUACUACGGAGUAUCCAACUUUGGACCGGUCAACAUGAAGAACUUUGUGGAUGCAGGUGGAAAACCUGUAUCAAACCAGAUUGGUUACAACCUGCUGUGGCGGUCAGUGGAGCAUGAAGUGAUUCCGUCCAGUCAGAAGUACGGGGCCAGCAUCCUGGCUUACUCCCCCCUACAGCAAGGGUUGCUGACCGGGAAGUUCCUCAAGGUCGACGACGUUCCCAUGGGCAGGCGCCGGGGCAAGCUCUUCUCUCCUGACAGCUGCCAUUUAGCAAGACAUGGACAAGAGGGGGCAGAGAAAGAAGUCUUUGAGGUAAAAGCAUACAUUGACAUACAUUAUUGUUCAAUCUCUGUAGAAUUCUGUAGUGUAUAAAGAUCCUCAGAGUACAUUUGUCCCAAUGUUACAUGUAACAGGUGUGUCAGUGACUGUCAAUGUAUUGGGUCUUAGCGGCUCAGUGGCUAGAGCACUGGCAUGGUACGUCAGAGGCCUUAGUUUCAAUUUCCAGUGGAGACUUGAGACUUCACCAUGUAUUACACAAUGAUAAGAAAUUAUUGGCACAUUUUAAAGUAAAGACAACUUUGUUGUCAGCAAAGUUGAAGAUAAUGCAUGCCAAGUAGUUUGAUAUCAAUACACAAUUUUGCAAUUCAAGGCUCUGAUGUAUGACUAUUCAAGCCAAUCUUCAUCGUUUUCAGGCUAUAGCUAAAAUGAAUGACAUUUGUAAGAAAGCCAAUGUUCCAAUGGCGAAGGCUGCAUUAUCAUGGGUACUGAACCAGCCCAAUGUACCAGUGGCCAUAGUAGGCGCUCGGACUCCAGAGCAGAUGGUGGAGAACUGUGAGAUAGUGGAUCUACCGCAGAGUGUCAUCAAAGAGCUCACGGAGGCCACAGAGUCGGUGAAGAAUAAGAUUGGUAAAUCCAUUGACCAGUGGGCCCACCCCGACCGCUGUGAAUGAUCUCACCGUACACCCUCACCCCCCUCAUCAGAUCAGCCACAAACUCACGACAGAUAAUUCAACAGUGAUUUUUUUUGUAAAUCUGUGAUCAAGUUGAUUUUGAGAUCACUGGAGUGCUACGCAUUCUGUUAUCUUCUGAGAAGAUAAUUUUAUCAGAAAUUCAUUUAAUAUUACAUAUAGUUUAAUAUUAAAAACCGGUAAUCGUACAAUAGACAAGCCUAAUGUGAUUAUUUUGAAUAAAUGUUGAUAUUUU